GUAAGCCAGCUGCAGUGCAUCCCUUCUCUUAGCUUAUGAUACAUCACUUUGGCACUGUGUAUGGUGCUGAUAUGCUUUUUGGCACUGGCACAAAACUUACAGUAAUUGGCAAGAAUGAUGAAAUCAUACCUCCAGCUGUGGCCAUCUUUUUCCCAUCAAAGCAGGAGAUCCAGCAGAAGAGCAAGGCCACGCUGGUGUGCCUGGCCUCUGGUUUCUACCCUGACCACCUGACUCUGGUCUGGAGGGUGAAUGGUGCGCAAAGGACUGAAGGGGUGGGGACAGACGAGUCCUCCACACGGAAUGGCAGCACCUACUCACUGACCAGCCGACUGAGGAUGCCAGCCUGGGAGUGGUUCAACCCUCUGAAUCGCUUCGAGUGUAUUGCCAAUUUUUUUCAGAAUGGAACAACGCAAUCAGUGAAGAAAUUUAUCUAUGGUGAUGCUGGCUGUGCACUCACAGAAGAAUCAUACAUGCGGUAUGGAAAUUCUCUGAAGCUCACGUACCUCAUCCUCUGUGGCAAAGCCUUGGUCUAUGCAGUUUUGGUGAGUGGUCUGGUGUGGACAGCCAAGACUGGUGUCAAGUUAUCUAGAGAAUAAAUGAAGAGCCCUUGUCAUCACCCCGGCAGGAAUGCAACAAGUUCUCGACCUUUCCAUAGCAAAGUAUCUAUGCUUCUAUGAACUUGAGAAUAUAAUUUUUUUGUAAUUGUCUAUUGUCGUCCUGUGGUUCACUUCAUGGUAAUCACUGGUGAACUUUCCCUGUACUUCCAUAUCAUAAUGGAUCAUAUUUUAUUACAUCAUAUCUUUAAACUAGCACCUUCUUAAU